rnacentral:lncRNA from 1 species
GCGGCGCCAGCCUAGCCCGAGGAUGGAGGCUGAGGCCGCCUGUUGAGUCACAGGUUGGAGUGCAGUGGAAAGAAAAAAGAAAGACACAGCCCGAUUCUGUUACCACCCUCAUCCUUUACCUUGGCCUUCCAACAUCUAUAAGAACUUAACCUGCCUUGUAAGGAUUAGAUGAGACUGUGUGCAUAAGAACCGACCGCCAGGCCCGUGGCAAAACUGAGAGUAGAUUGUGGAGAAAGCCAUUUGUUCUGACCUCCUCCCUUCUGUUUACAUACAAAACCAAAGCCUUUGUGA